GUACGACGUACGUUUUCUAUAUAUUACAUCUUUUUUUUCUUUGAUUCGAGGUCAAACUCCUACGCGAUACCAGUCUCGCUUAUUAAUCGGUUAUUAAAAUACUCGAUAACGAUGACACAAUCAUGAUACACCUGAAUAUGUUUAAUAGAUCAGAAAUCAGAUAAACAUUGUUUUUACUAUAAAAGUUGUAUUAUCGCAUAACAAAAGAGUGAAAUACGGUGAAUUACCAUUAAAUAAUUUACUGUGUAAAAGCAGAUUUUUUUUAUUAAAUAUUCUAUUUAAUAAAAAGCAUAUUUAAUUUUAUCUACUGUAAAUUGAUUUUAUGUGAAUUGUGCCAUAAAAAUUAGUAAUGUUAACUCAAAGAUUGUUAUAUUAUUUAUUAUAUUAUUUAUUGUAUAUAUAUAUAAAUACAGAAUCAUUGUAAUCAAGACAUCGUUCAACACGCAUUAAAGUCACCAAAUUGUUAUGUAUUUCUUAUAUAUAGAUUACUCUACUAUUUGAAUUCAUAGCAUUAUUAAAAUCAUCGACAACAGCACCGGAUAGCGCAGGAAUGGUAGAAAUGGUGAAUGGAUUGGCAUACGAACUGCGGCAUAUCUAGAUUGAUGGCAAACGUAAAUUGUCGAUGUUCAAUGAUACGUCAUUCUGGAAAUGAAAUUGGGAAAGUACUGGCGAGCUAAUUUCUGAAAUGGAUGCAAGCUUUGUUCCAUGAUGCUCAGCUGGUCAACGUCACAAUAAUGAUGCAAAUUGCUUGAACUUUGAUCAUACAGAUUACACUCCCAUUAUAUAAUGCUUGACUAGACUGCAAUCAAAGUCAAACGUAUAUUUGUCAACCUUGUAAAUAAAUGAAAACAUUCUGAAAAAUAGGAAAGUAUUAUGGACUAAGAGAAUUUAUGAUAAUUUGCUAAUUAUACAUAAAUAAUUUAAAUUUGUAAGGGCCAUAAAUCAUAAAUUUGAAGGGUCAGCAGCAUGCGCGCCUCGCAGAUCAAACUUGAACAAGAGCUAUGCAUUAUCAGGCGAUAACGACUUGCUGCGAAGAUUUUCAUUUUUGAGACAAUCUUAUUAUCUUAUUA